ensembl:lncRNA
UAACAGUACAACUGGCCCAGCUUGGCCCCCCCAGUUGAAAUGGUCUAGAACCACCACUAGUAGGAUCUUCCACAGCCCAGAGGUGCAGAAAUCGUACUGCCAGAGGAGUUGGGGAGAUCAGAAUGGGCAUUCUGUUUCAUGUUGGUAUUGUCAAGUGCUAGCCCGUCUCCAGAUCCAACCUGACACCAGGGUUGUGUUCAUUGGGCACCAAAUGGAAGAACAUCAACUGAAAUGCGAAGGAAUUUCACACAAGAGAAGUCUGUAUGAGUGGACUUUGUGGAUUUUGCUGUCUCGACUCCCUCACGCAACCAGCCGACCCUCAUCCCGAACACGAAACAACGAGCCUCUGGACUGGACUCGCAAGGGCGCCCCCACUGGUUGUAGUAGGUGGAACAGAAUUCCCCCAUUUCUUUGGACUGAACUGCUUUAGUAUGGUAACAUUGACUGGGAGUUUUCUAACAGCCUUGAUGUGUUUUGUUAAGAGUAACUUCUGCUGUUUAGCUAACAGGCUCAUUUCUUGGUUAAAUCUGGGAUUGUAAAUUCUGUUUACGCUGAUUAGCUGCUGCAGUUUUUUUUUCUUUCUUGGGCUCCGUGACAAACGGGCACGACUACUUGUUUCGGGCCCUUACUUCCCGUCGUUUUUGUGCAAUACCGCCCUAGUUUUCCCGCGGCCUUGUGUGAAUACAUUCUCUUGUCAGCUGACCUCAAUGUAAGUUUUAUAUUUAGUAUGGUAACAUAGGAAACAACCAAUCAUUUUAAGCCAUUGUUGUAAAAGCCAAACCUGUAAUAAAGAACCUUUGAUGGUA